GAUGAACGCUGGCGGCGUGCUUAACACAUGCAAGUCGAACGAUGAAGCCCAGCUUGCUGGGUGGAUUAGUGGCGAACGGGUGAGUAACACGUGAGUAACCUGCCCUUAACUCUGGGAUAAGCCUGGGAAACUGGGUCUAAUACCGGAUAGGAGCGUCCACCGCAUGGUGGGUGUUGGAAAGAUUUAUCGGUUUUGGAUGGACUCGCGGCCUAUCAGCGUGUUGGUGAGGUAGUGGCUCACCAAGGCGGCGGCGGGUAGCCGGCAGGAGAGGGUGAACGUCCACACUGGGACUGCGACACGGCCCAGACUCCUACGGGAGGCAGCAGUGGGGAAUAUUGCACAAUGGGCGCAAGCCUGAUGCAGCGACGCCGCGUGAGGGAUGACGGCCUUCGGGUUGUAAACCUCUUUCAGUAGGGAAGAAGCGAAAGUGACGGUACCUGCAGAAGAAGCACCGGCUAACUACGUG
rnacentral:rRNA from 1 species